GUUGGAGUUCUCUGUGUAGCUGUGGUCUUCUGAAGGCUUAUUUGGGUCACUGUGGCUGGGUCCAUUUCAUCUCCUGGAGUCUCAGUUCUCCUUCUAUGAAUUGGAAACAAUCACUAUUGGCUUCACUGUGAAAAAUGGACUCGUGAGUGGGGAUGCUGAACGCAGGUGGGGAAAAUGCAAGAGACAGCAUAUUCUGUUCCCGGCUGGCUGUACAGUUCAUCUCCAGAUCCCAGGUUCCUCCAUUAAAACCUACCCCCUGCCCCAGGGAACAGCCUGGCAAGCUCUUCUGACCCAACAGCACUGGCAGCUGUUUGGCAGCUUCUGAAGUGGAUCCAAUCUGUUUGCAGAGAGAUGUAACUUCUCAUCUUCAACACAACUAGACUUGACGUGAGGAGCAGCAAAAAGGAGAGUUCAGCAGUAUUCAAGACCACGUUGCUUAGUGACAUUCCCAUGCAAUCCAAGAGCCUGACAGAAGAAAAAUUAGGAGAGAAGAAAUUCUUAUCUUCUAUCCAGAGGUCUCUAGAGAUUUUGAUUCCCCUUGCAGUGGCCUCAGCAUCCACAUGACUGGACUUCAUGGAUUAUCUGGAUUAUAUUACAAUUAUCUGGAUUAUAUUACAAUAUGGAUGUGAGUAGACAGUAUCGAAACUUUUCCAAGCAAAUAUGGUUGCCUUGUUUUACAGUUAGAGUAUGGGAAUGGCAUCCUGCCCCACUCUAAGUAAGAAAAAGCAAUAACAGAUGAAAUCUCUGACCUUGGUUUAUUCCCUCUACUGCACUUCCAUCCCCAUCCCUUCUUAACAGACCAUUCCUUUCUAAAACCUAAUUAAAAGAAAGGCUGCAAAAACUAAUUUAACCUCUCCUUAGUGUUUCUUCUAUCUCCCCAUGAGAAAUCCUAACUGGAGAGUUAAAAACAAAUCCAUCAAGAUUUCCACUUCAUUAAAUUGCAUAUGUCUUGAUCACAGAACUAAUGGGAG
ensembl:lncRNA